rnacentral:rRNA from 1 species
CAAGAGUUAAUCGGAAUUACUGGGCGUAAAGCGCGCGUAGGCGGCUAAGUAAGUCGGGUGUGAAAGCCCCGGGCUCAACCUGGGAACUGCAUCCGAUACUGUUUGGCUAGAGUAUGAGAGAGGGAGGUAGAAUUCCACGUGUAGCGGUGAAAUGCGUAGAUAUGUGGAGGAAUACCGGUGGCGAAGGCGGCCUCCUGGCUCAAUACUGACGCUGAGGUGCGAAAGCGUGGGGAGCAAACAGG